rnacentral:rRNA from 1 species
CGCGUAGGCGGUUCGUACAGUCAGACGUGAAAUUCCCGGGCUCAACCUGGGGGCUGCGUUUGAUACGUACGGGCUUGAGUUCGGAAGAGGGUCGUGGAAUUCCCAGUGUAGAGGUGAAAUUCGUAGAUAUUGGGAAGAACACCGGUGGCGAAGGCGGCGACCUGGUCCGAUACUGACGCUGAGGCGCGAAAGCGUGGGGAGCAAACAGGAUUAGAUACCCUGGUAGUCCACGCCGUAAACGAUGUGUGCUGGAUGUUGGGCAGUCUGACUGUUCAGUGUCGUAGCUAACGCGAUAAGCACACCGCCUGGGGAGUACGGCCGCAAGGUUGAA